rnacentral:tRNA from 1 species
GCCUGGGUGGCUCAAUCGGUUAAGCGUCUGACUUCAGCUCAGGUCACGAUCUCACAGUUUGUGAGUUCGAGCCCCGCAUCGGGCU